rnacentral:rRNA from 1 species
UACGAAGGGGGCUAGCGUUGCUCGGAAUCACUGGGCGUAAAGCGCGCGCAGGCGGUCCGCGAGGUGUCACGUGAAAGCCCCGGGCUCAACUCGGGAGGGUCGUGGCAAACCGGCGGACUUGAGGCCGGUAGAGGUGGGUGGAACUCCUGGUGGAGUGGUGAAAUGCGUAGAGAUCAGGAAGAACACCCGUGGCGAAGGCGGCCCACUGGGCCGGAACUGACGCUGAGGCGCGAAGGCGUGGGGAGCGAACGGG